rnacentral:rRNA from 1 species
AACGCGAAGAACCUUACCAAAUCUUGACAUCCCUCUGACUGGACAGUAAUGUGUCCUUUCCUUCGGGACAGAGGAGACAGGUGGUGCAUGGUUGUCGUCAGCUCGUGUCGUGAGAUGUUGGGUUAAGUCCCGCAACGAGCGCAACCCUUAUCCUAAGUAGCCAGCACGUUAUGGUGGGCACUCUGGGGAGACUGCCGGGGAUAACCCGGAGGAAGGUGGGGACGACGUCAAAUCAUCAUGCCCCUUAUGAUUUGGGCUACACACGUGCUACAAUGGCGUAAACAAAGGGAAGCGAAGUCGUGAGGCGGAGCAAAUCCCAAAAAUAACGCCUCAGUUCGGAUUGUAGUCUGCAACUCGACUACAUGAAGCUGGAAUCGCUAGUAAUCGCAAAUCAGAAUGUUGCGGUGAAUACGUUCCCGGGUCUUGUACACACCG